rnacentral:rRNA from 1 species
CAAUGAUCUCAAAUCAGACAAGACUACCCGCUGAAUUUAAGCAUAUCAAUAAGCGGAGGAAAUGGGCG